rnacentral:misc_RNA from 1 species
CGAAAACGCUUUGAAUUCCUCAUUCUGCUUCCAAAACAGAGUGUUGAAGUUGGUGAAGAAGGGAUCUGGAUCUGAUCAAUUUCUGAUCUGGAACGGUAAUUUCUUCUGUUUGAAUUAUAAUUCAUCGAUGAAACCGAAGGAGAGGUAGUGAUUACCUUUGUGGUGGGAAUGAUUUUAGGGAAAAUUGAAAAGAAGAAUUUAUUAGAUUUUGAUUGUUUAGGCAAUGGAGCAUUCGUUUGAUAGGAAGGUGGAGGAGUGAGAGGAGGAAGAGAAAUAUCAGAGAAUUUGUGUUUAGGAGUACCUGGUUGAGAUUCCCAUACAAAUGGAAUUGAACCAGAAGAUCCACCACAGUAAUAAUACCUAAAAGAAGACUCACCAACUCCUCCUCCUUUAGCACUAGUUUCCUUAGACAAAAGCCUUGAGAAGAACUUGUCAUCUUGUUUGAUUAGUAGAAAAUCUGCAGAAUGAUGAUGAGAUCUACUAUUAUUAUCACCACUCACCAUUUUUAUGUUUCUGCUUCUCUACUUGAAGAUCUGAAGUAGAGGAAGGGCAAAGGG